rnacentral:lncRNA from 1 species
UUUGAAGUGCUAGAGUAUGAAGGCUGUGGACGCAUCUUGGAGAAGAAGAAACUUGAAAGCUUAGUAACCCAUUUGUCGUCCAAAAGAAUAUUUCUGCUCUUGAUGUCGCGGUGAAUUACCGCAUGCUUUGCUCCGGUAUGAAGGUAAUGUAAUCCACGAGCUGCACCAAUACAUAUCUCUAGCCUCUGCUUCCACGGGAGUGGAUCAUAAUUACAACCAUAGAGAUGAUCACGGAGUGACCCGUUUUUCAUGAGUUCAUAUACAAGGAUCUUCUCGUCCUUAUCAUUGCAGUACCCAAUAAGAGACACGAGAUUUUGGUGGCGCAGUUGGCAGAGCAACUGCACUUCGGUUUGGAACCCAUCGAGUCCUUGUACUGAAUCUGGUUUGAAGCGUUUGACAGCAACCAAGUUUCCAUAAUCAACAAUCCCUUUGUACACCUUUACAAAAUAACCUUCUCUGACAAGCGAUUUUGGAUGAAAGUUGUUGGUAGCAGCUUUGAUCUCGGUUAGAGAAAACUGACGCUGAUGGUAAAUUUCCUCAGGAAGAGCUGCUGGAUAUUUUAUCCUAGCAUGCUUUUCAUUUCCCGUACUUAUUGAUUUUCUAUUGCCUGCUACUUUCGUAAAGACUUUGAAGCAACACGGAAGAAACUGUGAAAGAUUUCCCAUGAGGGAAGUAAUGAAGGAGAAAGGAGCAAGUCUGGAUCUGGAUUGAUAUUUGUGGCGUUAUCUCAUCAAGAAGAAGUCUUGCUUGACUUUGCUUUUAUCAUUCAUGUGAACAAAACCCAAUUCAACCAAUAUUAAUAUUCCACCAAGUAAUCAAAUAAUCUAAAUUCACGAAAGUAUUAAAAAGUAAUUGGGUAUAAAAAAUUAAAAAGGGUUGGCUUGGUGGGGGAUCCCACAUCUUGGAUGACUUAGCAGGUGACAAAUUUUGUAGUCAAUUUUCAAGAUAAAAAGUGUGUGUUGGGCCAGUCCUGCAAACCCCCAGGUUCUUUCUUUAAAGCAUGAAAAAUAAAAAAAAACUAUUCAUCAUAUUUUGGAAAAAAAAAAGACUUUAUUUUCUCAUUACGCACUAUGCGUCUUUCAUCAUAAUCCAUGUCUUAUCUUAUUUCGAACACAUUUAAUUUGCGAAAUGAAAUUAAUAAAAACUAAAAUAUUUAUUAUAUGAAUAUAGAAUAAGGUAAGAAUAUAAUACUUAUAAUGUAAUUUGAUUUAUGAAAUAAAAUUCUCAUUCAAGCAUUAUUUCAAUAUUUAAUUAGCAAGAAUAGUUUUAAAAUAAUAAAAGAACGAAUGACAAAAUAAAAAAAUCAUUUAUUAUAAUUUAAUAAAAUUUUUAAAUUUUUUCAAAACUAUCAAAUGACUUGAAUUCAAACCUAUCCAACUCAAACUCAUAAUGAUUUGAAUUCAAAACGAUAUAAACUUGAAUUGACUUAAACUCCAAAUGAUUCAAAACAUGGACUGGAGCCCAUGAUCUGUCCUUUUUUCUAUCUAACUUUCUUUUUCACAAACUAUGGCCUACAACUCAGAGAUAUUUUCUACCUCACUUUUAUCCACCUAAAUGGAUUAGGAAUAUAAAAUAAUACUUGUGAUCAGUUUUUUACUUAUAGGUAAGUUUAAAAGGUUGAAAUGUAUCUAUUUAAGAUAUAUUGAAAGAAUUAAUUAUUUAGUUAUUAAGUAAAUAUUUUGUAUAAAUUUAUUUUAUUUAUUUGAAAUAAAUUAGAAAUAUAGAAUAACACGGACAGCGAAAUUUUUUUAACUCUACAAGCAUAUUUAAAAUAUUAACAUUUAUUCAUAUAGGGUGUAUUUAAAAAAAUUAAUUAUUGAAUUAUUAAAUAGAUACAAAACAAUCAUACAUCAAAAAUGUGAAAUUGAUAGAAAUUGAUUCUUUAUGUAAAAAGAAAUCCAGGCCUUACACUUGACCAAGAAGCGAGAAAAGGCCAAGACUCCACAAAUUAAUUUUCAAUUUGUUUUAUUAUUUGCAUCUAAGUCAGCUCCUUUUGGGGGAGACAUUAUCUGGUUAGGUGGUUCGAACUAAGAAGAAGAAACCAUCCAAUCACAAACAUAUAGGUAAGGUAUAAGCAGUGAAGAGUGAGAUUUAUAAACUAUGUUAGAUCCAAAAAACAAAAGAUAUGAUCUAAAGAUCCAAGUCUACCAUCUAGAUUUAAGUGAUAUGCUGCUGUCCACAAGUAACCUGUGAUCAAAAACAGGGAAGUAAAAUGAUACUUCUCAGUACAUACAUUCACCAUAAGGAUCAACAUUCGUCACCUCGGAAUCUGCUUUCUCUUGCAUCUCCAAUGCAAGCUGUAGCAUCAGCUCCACUUCACCCAUAUCAGGCCGUCUCUCUCCCUUCUCACUGAUACAGCAAUAAGCGAUGUUCACGAAUAUCUUGAAACAUUCUGGAGCUAUCUUCCCUUUCAAAUAUGAAUCAAUUAUAUUAUAAAUGGUUCCAUCGCCUAUGCAGCAGCAGACCCAAUAAACUAGAUGUUGUUUAUACUCGUCCAAUCUUCGAUCAAAGACUGGUCUAGCACACAAAACUUCAAAUAAAACAACUCCAAAUGAGUACACAUCACUUUUUUCUGAAAGUCCACAUCCUCUCAUAUACUCUGGAUCCACAUAACCGAGAAUACCCGCCAUUGGUGCGUCUAUAUUUUUCAAAGCUUUUGACGUGUUAAUGUAUGAAGGUUGCGGACGCAUCUUGGAGAACCCGAAACUAGAAAGCUUACUAACCCAUUUGUCGUCCAAAAGAAUAUUGUCGCUAUCGACGUUACUGUGAAUUAUCGCAUACUUUAUUCCAGUAUGAAGGUAAUGUAAUCCACGAGCUGCACCAAUACAUAUCUCUAGCCUCUGCUUCCAUGGAAGUGGAUCACAACCAGAACCAUAGAGAUGAUCACAGAGUGUCCCGUUUUUCAUGAGUGGGUAUACAAGGAUCAACUCGUCCUUAUCAUUGCAGAACCCUAUCAGAGACACAAGAUGUUGGUGGCGCAGCUGGCAGAGCAACUUCACUUCGGCUUGGAAUUCAUUGAGUGCAUCUUGUACUGAAUCUGGGAAGAAGCGUUUGACAGCAACAAAGUUUCCAUCAUCAAGAAUCCCUUUGAACACGUUUCCAAAAAAACCUUCAGCGAUAAGAGAUAUUGGAUGAAAAUUGUUGGUAGCAGCUUUGAUCUCGGUUAGAGAAAAUUGACGCUGACGGUAUAUUUCCUCAGGAAGAGUUGCUGGAUAUUGUAUCCUGGCGUGUUUUUCAUUUCCCUCACUUAUAUCUGAUUUUCUAUAGCCUGCUGUUUUGGUAAAGACUUUGAAGCAACUUGGAAGAAAAUGUGAAGAAUUUCCCAUGGGGGAAGUAGUGAAGGAGAAAGGAGAAAGAAGCAAGUCUGGGUCUGGAUCUGGUUUGAUAAUUUUGAAAACCAAAAAAGCCAGAUUCAAACUAUCAGAAAAACCAAUCUUUCAAAAACAAAAAUCAACAGAAAAAAAUAAAAACAAAAACCUAAGUUUUCUAGCAGCCUGAACCACAAUCCACAACCAAUAAAAAAUAAAAAAAAUAAUAAAAAAAACGCAAUGAAAAUGAGAGAAGCGGAGUAGUUUUGUUUGAGGAUUUCUUUCUUUUUUUUCUGGUUUGGGUUUUUGUGGUUGGAAAAGGUUGAAGUUUUGGGGGUUUUUUAUGCCUGAGGGACUGGCGAUGAAAGGGGGUUUUAUGAGGUUUGAAUGACCAGCGAAGGAAAGGAAAAAGGAGAUCCGGUUGGGUGUCCCGAUCGGAGGAGAAAUUAGGGAGUUUGAGGGAGUGACGCCGGUUAGAAAAGGAGGGAGUUUUUUUUGUUGUGCCGCUGGUUAGAGGGUAGAGAACCUUGGGUUGUGCCGCCGGUUGGAGAGUAGAGAGCCUUGGGUUUGUGCCGCCCGUUGGAGGGUAGGGAGCAUUUUCUUAGUGCCGCCGGUUUGGGUGAGUGAAGAGGGAGAGAUCUUGUGUGAGAGAGCUGGUGGAGGAGCAAAAAUGGAGGCUUUUCUAAAGUAAAAAAGAAGUGAUCGGCUUUAGAAGAGAAAGAGGAAGAAGAACAGUGAAAAAUAGUGAAAAGUCAGCUUGUAUAGUUGGAGGGAGAGCCUCUAAACGGCGUCGCAUCAGCUAGAGGAAGAAGGGCUUUUCUUUUUCUCCCAAGUGGUGCAACUGGAGCAGACCAUUUGGACCCAAUUCAGACCGGAGACAACCUUUGAAGCCCAGUGGAGAACCCAUUUGGACCAGUGAAUUAAUUUCAACCCGAUAGGUAAUACAUUUAUUUUAGUAAAUAGUGGAUUGAGUUUACGAUUUCUUAUUUAUUAGUUAUAAUAGUGUUAUUAUUUUUGAUAUUGUCUGAAAUUUAUGCAUAGGAGAAAUAAAAUACAUGAAAGUAAAGAAAAUGAAAAUCUUUAAUAUAGUAGAUAGUAGAAAUGCAUCAUAUAUUCUAUGAAAAGAAACCCUAUUCUCUCGAACCAUGCAUUAGCCCCCUUAUACUUCAUUCAUAAGUAGUAGUAUUUUCUAAAGUAAUUAAGCUUGAAGAAUGCAUCACGUUAUCAAUUAGCAUAGACCCAAAAAAACAAACAAAGAAAUAUGGAUUGAUUAACAUGUGUUUUAAUCCAAUUUUAAUUAAAUUUUUAUUCAAGUGUUUCAAACUAGUAUCAAUAAGAAACAGGGAUACAAAAUUAUACUUCUCCGUACAUAUAUUUACGAUGAGGAUCGACAUCCACCAAUUCGGUAUCUGCUUUCUCUUGCAUCUCCAAUGCAACCUCCAACAUUAGCUCCAUUUCACCCAUGCCAAGCUGUGUAUCUCCCUUCUCACUGGUGCAGCAAUAAGCAAUGUUAACGAAUAUCUUGAAACACUUGGAGCUAUCCUCCCCUUUAGAUAUGAAUCAAUGAUAUUAUAAAUGGUAAAAAGAUCUAUCCAGUCCUUAUACUUUUUAAUUUUGUUCAAUUUAAUUUUUAUAUUAAAAAUCAAAAUAAUUUAGUUCAUUGAUUUUAAAAAUUACGUUAAUUUAUUCUCUCUCUCCUAACGGCAUAUAAUUUUACUAUUAAUGGAUAACAUCAGUGAUGAUGUCAAUGUUGACGUGUCAUAUUUUUUGAUAAUGUGGUGUGCCACGUCGCACUCAGUGAUGACAUGGCAAUGCCACAAAGCACUAUUGAUGACGUGGUAGUACUGACGUAGCAUUGACAUGUUGAGAUGUCAAUGCCACGUGGUAGAUCAAAAAUUUUUUUGUCAUAUCAUAGAGAUUAAAUUAAACAAAAAUUUAUAAUACAUGGAUUAAAUUGAACAAAAUUGAGAUAUUGGGAGACUAAAUUAAAAAAAUAUUUAAAAAAUUAUAAAUUUAUAUUCAUAAUGGACUUGUUUUGAGUAAUUACAAAAAAACUAUGUGAUUAAGUAAUCUAAACUAAGAUCUCAAAAUCUAAGUCUACCAUCUAGAUUCAAGUGGUGAACUGUUAUCCACAGGAAAACUGUGGUCAGAAACAGGGAUAGAAAAUGAAACUUCUCCAUACGUACAUUCACCAUGAGGAUCAACAUCCUUCAUUUCAGAAUCUGCUUUCUCUUGCAUCUUCAAUGCAAGCUCUAGCAUCAUCUCCACUUCACCCAUCUCAGGCCGUGUAUCUCCCUUUUCACUGAUACAGCAAUAAGCGAUGUCCACGAAUAUCUUAAAACACUCUGGAGCUAUCUUCCCCUUCAGGUAUGAAUCAAUUAUAUUAUAAAUGGUUCCAUCGCCUAUGCACCGACAGACCCAGUAAACUAGAUGUUGCUUAUGCUCGUCCAAUCUUCGAUCAAUGACUGGUCUAGCACACAAGACUUCAAAUAAAACAACCCCAAAUGAGUACACAUCACAUUUCUCUGAAAGUCCACCAUCUCUCUGAUACUCUGGAUCCCAAUAACCUAAAGUACCCAAAAAUAUUUCUGAGUGUAGUGGUUUCAAAGCUUUUGAAGUGCUAGAGUAUGAAGGCUGUGGACGCAUCUUGGAGAAGAAGAAACUAGAAAGCUUACUAACCCAUUUGUCGUCCAAAAGAAUAUUUCUGCUCUUGAUGUCACGGUGAAUUACCGCAUGCUUUGCUCCGGCAUGAAGGUAAUGUAAUCCACGAGCUGCACCAAUACAUAUCUCUAGCCUCUGCUUCCACAGGAGUGGAUCAUAAUUACAACCAUAGAGAUGAUCACGGAGUGACCCGUUUUUCAUGAGUUCAUAUACAAGGAUCUUCUCGUCCUUGUCAUUGCA